CUUCAGCUUUGGUCCCUCGGGGCGUCUGGGCAGCCUACGCUUUCCGACUGGAAUCAGCCAUUUUACCAAGAAAGUUGGGUUUCUUUUACUGGCAAAUAGUACUUCAAGAGCACAGUCUUAUGUAAGCAUGACCCAUCUGCCUGGCACCAGCACCUGGGGCUGCCAGGCAGCCACCCCUGCAGCUGUGUUGACAGGACCUGGCAGAGGGACUGACCCACCUUUGGAAAAUGACACCAGCAAUAUCAGGAUGUGUCAACUGGAUUUAUGCUAAGAAAAUAGGAUUUUUGGUGUUCCUCUGUUUCCCAAAGUUUGAGACACUUUCAGACACUCUGCUUUGCGGUUGUGGCCGAUGUUACCCAUGGGUGGGACUUUUGCUUUGCUCUAGAUUUUUGUAACACCCUGGGGAGUUUCAGGGGCCAAUGCUGAGAGAAGACCACAGGCUGACACAUCAUGAGGUAUGUUGGUAAAACAGUCCCGGCUGGCCGAGAGGC
rnacentral:lncRNA from 1 species